GGCAGUUCUCAGGUGAUGCACCCCAGAAUCGGACUCCUUCCUCUCUGGUCUGGCUGCGUCAUCCGAGAACCACU
rfam:Myotis davidii contig136847, whole genome shotgun sequence.